rnacentral:rRNA from 1 species
AGUGAACGCUGGCGGUAGGCCUAACACAUGCAAGUCGAACGGCAGCACAGUAAGAGCUUGCUCUUACGGGUGGCGAGUGGCGGACGGGUGAGGAAUACAUCGGAAUCUACUUUUUCGUGGGGGAUAACGUAGGGAAACUUACGCUAAUACCGCAUACGACCUACGGGUGAAAGCAGGGGAUCUUCGGACCUUGCGCGGUUGAAUGAGCCGAUGUCGGAUUAGCUAGUUGGCGGGGUAAAGGCCCACCAAGGCGACGAUCCGUAGCUGGUCUGAGAGGAUGAUCAGCCACACUGGAACUGAGACACGGUCCAGACUCCUACGGGAGGCAGCAGUGGGGAAUAUUGGACAAUGGGCGCAAGCCUGAUCCAGCCAUACCGCGUGGGUGAAGAAGGCCUUCGGGUUGUAAAGCCCUUUUGUUGGGAAAGAAAAGCAGCAGGUUAAUACCCCGCUGUUCCGACGGUACCCAAAGAAUAAGCACCGGCUAACUUCGUG